rnacentral:rRNA from 1 species
ACUACGUGCCAGCAGCCGCGGUAAUACGUAGGUCCCGAGCGUUGUCCGGAUUUAUUGGGCGUAAAGCGAGCGCAGGCGGUUUGAUAAGUCUGAAGUAAAAGACUGUGGCUUAACCAUAGUACGCUUUGGAAACUGUCAAACUUGAGUGCAGAAGGGGAGAGUGGAAUUCCAUGUGUAGCGGUGAAAUGCGUAGAUAUAUGGAG